UGAUUUUUUUUAGUUUGGUUUUUGAUUAAUUAUAAAUGUUUGAAAAGUUAUUUUUUGAUUUAUUAGCACUCUUUUUCGCAGUUCCUGUGUAUAUUUACCAGAGCUUUUCACCAAACUUGGGAGAUUAGUUAAGACAUCAGUUUGACUCUGGGGAAUAGGAAGAGAAUCGAUAUUAGAUGGGCAAAGAGCACUAGUAGAAGGAUGGUUCUAGUGGGAUAGUUCUUGAAAAAGGUGGAUGUAUGGGAAAUUGAAGGUCUUCAAUCUGUUGAAGCUUAUUCUUCCAUGAAUAGGCAUUUAUUGGGUUCAGUUUGAUUCUAUAUAUAUUUGUCCUGUUUGAUGAAAGAAAGGAUGAGAAAGAAAGGAUCUCAGAUAAUCAAUCCUCAUUCUUAGUAAGAAUUCUUGUGGUUCCAAAGUAUCAACUAUGGGAGAGCCUGGAAAAUAGAGCUUUCCUUUUCUGGUAGAGGUACAGGUAUGUUCAAGGUCCAAUAUAAGCUCCUGUCGUGGGAAAAGCAAAAACAGUUUGAAAUGGAGAACAGUUGGGAAGUGAUGAAACCAAGAAGAUUGAAGAGAAAAACUAUAGGAAGGUUGGGUUCACCUUACUAAGUGAAACAGAGACAUGGAUGGAAUGAAUGCAAAUUUCAAGAAAAUAAUGCUACCGAAAGGCCAUGGGAACAGAAAAUUGAAGUAAGAAAAGAUAAUGGCAAGAAAUACAGAAAUUUAGGGAAGAAGAGAUUAGGUGUAUGGGAAAGAUGUAGCAAGAAAUUAGUUGGUUGGGCCCUUGGAAUAUUCCAAGAGGCGCAAAUAUGUCUUCAUGAGCAAAAAGAAGAAAACUAUGUUCUAACGAAUAAAAGAUAAUCAUGAGACAAUUUUUCUCAACUUGGGAAUUUUCAUCUUUAGAAUAUGUGAAUUUUAUAGAGGGAGGUGGUGGCUGGUGGCUGUCUAGCCUAAUUUGGUAUAUGUGUAAAUUGGAUUGCAAGAAAUUCUCAUAUGAAGGCAUUCCUAAUAUACUUGUGCAAGACUAUAUUUAUAAAUUGAAUUGCAAGAAAUUCCCUAAA